AGAGUUUGACUCCUGGCUACAGGACGAACGCUGGCGGCGUGCCUAACACAUGCAAGUCGAGCGGAGAUGAUGGAAGAGCUUGCUCGGAAAACAUCUUAGCGGCGGACGGGUGAGUAACGCGUGAGCAACCUGUCCCAGACAGGGGGAUACCAGAUGGAAACAUCUGCUAAUACCGCAUAAGACCACAGGGUCACAUGGCCCAGGGGUAAAAGGAGCAAUCCGGUUUGGGGUGGGCUCGCGUCCGAUUAGCUGGUUGGUGAGGUAACGGCCCACCAAGGCGACGAUCGGUAGCCGACCUGAGAGGGUGAUCGGCCACAUUGGAACUGAGACACGGUCCAAACUCCUACGGGAGGCAGCAGUGGGGAAUAUUGGGCAAUGGGCGAAAGCCUGACCCAGCAACGCCGCGUGAGGGAAGAAGGUUUUCGGAUUGUAAACCUCUGUCCUUGGUGACGAAGGAAGUGACGGUAGCCAAGGAGGAAGCCCCGGCUAACUACGUGCC
rnacentral:rRNA from 1 species